UUCCAAUUUAAGUUGUUGCUUCUUUUAGAAAAAUGAAAAAGCUCGUCUGAAACAAUUUGUCUUAAGGGAGUCUUCCCUCCUUGUUGUGAGUUCGAAUGGGAAGGUGUAACGGAUUCAUUCCCUUCCAUUAAUUGAAAACAGGGAUCCAAAGUGCACUGUUUUGCUAGAGAACCUACAUGAGGAUCACUAAGUGGAGAACCUUAAGAGUAUACUUGGUGAAGUUGGAAAGUAUGUUCUUUUCCUUCUUUUUCUCCCCAUUCUAUGACAUUACUGUUCUCUUCAGUUUUGGUUAUAGCAUGGUUUUCAAUCUUCCAGUUAAGAGUAUACAUAUCAAGUUGUAUUUCAUACGAUAAAAGUGUAACAUUUGUGUCUUUCUAUCUCAAUCUCGCUCUCAAUUGCUU